GCUGUAUAAGCUAUUCACCCACUGCAGCGGGAGCCCAGAGGAGGGGGGAGAGGCCCUGCUUGGGGUGAUCCCAGGAGAUUUCACAGAAGAGGAAGAUUCAGCCCCAGGCUGCAGGCUUCUGAAGGCUGGGCUAGGUCUUGUGUGAAUCCCCAGCACCUGGGGCCUGGCCCAGGGGAGAUGAUGAAUGAAUGAAUGAGUGAGUGAAUGAAUGACAGUCAAAACAUGAAUGGGCUUGGCUGUGAGGCCGGCAUUGGAGGUGGGCAGGGACAGGCAGGACCAGUGCAGGACACCCCGCAGAGUGUCGGGCUGAGCUAGUAUGCGGCACCCAGGGAGGCCUUGUGACCUUCGACCCAGCAAUUCCACCUUUAGGAGGGUAUUCCGCGGAAUGACUAUUUACUACGGCGCGGAAGCAGACUGACGUUCCAUCAAAAAGGGAUCCAGACACUCUGCACCGGGGAGCAUUCACACAGUGGAAUUCCAGGAAGCCUUUAGAGAGAAUCAAGUCCAUCUGAUAAAAGAAGGUCUGCAAGCUGCUUGGCUAAACAGCAGAACCUGGACAACUCACAGCCAAGACCUUCCAUCUGGUAACAAGAGAACUCGGGCAGGAAGGACUGUGCCCCACCCCACCUGAGGCUUGAGACACUUCCUAAUGUUCCUGCUGGGCCCUGGCCCUGCUUGGCCCCAACUCCUUGUCCCCUCAGCUCUGCUUUCGCCGUCUCCAGGACAUGGGAUGCUAACAGAGGCCGUGGGUGAGGAGGAGCUCCUGAGCCAGGAAGGUGGCUGGCUUCACCGUCACCGGCCUGGUCCUCUGCGGAACAGACCUCAGAAGCGGACCCUCUUGAAGUGACAGCAGGCUCGGCCACAUGGCUCACUUUGGCCAAGAAAAUAGGAGAGAAGCAACACUUGCAAGAAGUUGUAAAAGUUGUCGUGCGGUCCCGCCGGUGUUCUUUCUCCUCUGCCAUGAGAACGUGGCCACUCCUUCAGCCCGGAUCCCGGAAAGAUGGAGAUGUGUGAGUCAGAGCCUCAUCCGACAGCAGCUGAUGUUUACCCCGAGUGAGAAACAAACCGUGAGUGCUCUAAGCCGCUGGGGACCGGGCUUGCUCCC
rnacentral:lncRNA from 10 species